AUAUUUGUUUAUCAUUAUCCUUAGUAAUUACCACUUAUCGUCAUGCUGUUAUAUAUAAUUAUGAUGUAUGUUCAGCUAUUGAGAGUAUAGAGUGAUUAGUUUUCCUCUUCUACUUUUCUUCUUUCUGUAAUUUUAUGAUACUUUUAUUAUUUUAAUGGUAUUAAAAUAAAAAGGUCUGUAAAGAAUGUAUGUUUCAUUUUGGAUGCAGAGAAGUGGUGCCCUCCUUUCAACGUAUUUGUUCCUAUUCAGUAUCUUGGAGUUUUGUUUGGCAGUUAUAGUGACUGACUGGGGAUACAAAGCAAACAGAUAGAAGAUAAAAGAUGCAGUGAGUAUCUCAUUCCUCUCUAGUGAGCUGCCUUCUGUGAUGAACCCUAUUUAAAAAACAUCUUGAUGAGAAGCAUAAACCCCUGCCAUCUCUAAACUGUGACUGUGGGUACCUGAAAACACCUUGCAAUAACUCUAGGGUAGUAAAUGGGUCUCCAGUAACUGAAGAUAAACAGAUUUCUCUACUAAAGUGCUUUGUAUUGCAGGGUGCUUUUAUGUUCACACUUAAAUGAGUGAAUGAGGUAGACAAUAUAUGGUUUUCUGGCUCCAUAAAAUGAGAGCAGGGUUCCAUCUAAAGAUAUUGAAAUUCAUAAGGUAAAAAAAUGAUAGUUCUAGUUAAAUGCAAAGAAGACAGACCCACAUCUCAUUCUUUUUUUUUUAUUGGUUGUUCAAAACAUUACAAAGCUCUUGACAUAUCAUAUUUCAUACAUUAGAUUCAAGUGGGUUAUGAACUCCCAUUUUUACCCCAAUUACAGAUUGCAGAAUCACAUCGGUUACACAUCCACAUUUUUACAUGAUGCCAUAUUAGUGACUGUUGUAUUCUGCUACCUUUCCUAUCCUCUACUAUCCCCCCUCUCCUCCCCUCCCAACUUCUCUCUCUACCCCCUCUACUGUAAUUCAUUUCUCUCUUUGUUUUUUCCCCAUUCCCCUCACAACCUCUUAUAUGUAAUUUUGUAUAACAAUGAGGGUCUCCUUCCAUUUCCAUGCAAUUUCCCUUUUCUCUCCCUUUCCCUCCCACCUCAUGUCUCUGUUUAAUGUUAGUCUUUUCCUCCUGCUCUUCCUCCCUGCUCUGUUCUUAGUUGCUCUCUUUAUAUCAAAGAAGACAUUUGGCAUUGGUUUUUUAGGGAUUAUGGAGUAUUACGCACCACAUCUCAUUCUUAAUUCUCCUCUGAACAAAGUGAAAAGAGUAAGAAUGUGAACAUAUAUGAACAUACAGUUUUCCACUUCAACUAGGUGGAAUUUAAUCUGAGAGGAGAGAAAGAGGACAGAAGGAGGGAAGGAGAAGAAAAGGAAAGGGAAGGGGGAAGAAGAAAAGUAAAAAGCAUCAAAGCACAUAGUUUAAUUUUAUUUAGGACUCUCAGUAUGAGAAUAUUUUAUUAGAAUUCUUUGCAAAAUACUAGUGAAAAUCCUAUGUCUUCUUUUAACUUUAGAACGUAUUGAUGAUCAAUUUACUAGUGUCCAACUUACCUCAGUUUCAUGGCAGAAGAAGAUCCGUUUCCUAUGUAUGAAGAACCAUCAUGACUUCGGUCAAGGAGGAGAGUUGAGUGGUGAAUGACUUCAUUUUGUCCAAACGACUUCUUGGAAAAUAUGAUUGAAUUAAGCCCUUCUUAGUAUUUCCUUUCCUCCAUUUCUUUAAUAAAAGUCAAUAUUGAUGAAUAUGGUUAUUUUGUUCUGUGUGAGGAGCUCAACAUAAAUUUAUCUUGUCAGCAUAAAUUUAUCUCAGGCUGACUAUGGUCAGCCUCAGUGAAGACAUUAUUCAAUGCAAGUAAAUUCUAUGAGUGGACACAUGCUUCUGGAGUGUAAUCUAUAUCUGAUAUUGAUAGGGUGAGGCAAUAACUGCUGGCUCGAGGAAAUCAUG
rnacentral:lncRNA from 1 species